GACGAACGCUGGCGGCGUGCUUAACACAUGCAAGUCGAACGGAAAGGCCCUGCUUUUGUGGGGUGCUCGAGUGGCGAACGGGUGAGUAACACGUGAGUAACCUGCCCUUGACUUUGGGAUAACUUCAGGAAACUGGGGCUAAUACCGGAUAGGAGCUCCUGCUGCAUGGUGGGGGUUGGAAAGUUUCGGCGGUUGGGGAUGGACUCGCGGCUUAUCAGCUUGUUGGUGGGGUAGUGGCUUACCAAGGCUUUGACGGGUAGCCGGCCUGAGAGGGUGACCGGCCACAUUGGGACUGAGAAGCAGACCGGAAUCAUACGGGAGGGAGCAGUGGGGAAUAUUGCAAAAGGGGCGGAAGCCUGAGGCAGCAACGCCGCGUGCAGGAUGACGGCCUUCGGGUUGUAAACCGCUUUCGCCUGUGACGAAGCGUGAGUGACGGUAAUGGGUAAAGAAGCACCGGCUAACUACGUG
rnacentral:rRNA from 1 species